rnacentral:rRNA from 1 species
UCGGGAAUUUUGGGCAAUGGGGGAAACCCUGACCCAGCAACGCCGCGUGAAGGAUGAAGUAUUUCGGUAUGUAAACUUCGAAAGAAUAGGAAGAAUAAAUGACGGUACUAUUUUAUAAGGUCCGGCUAACUACGUGCCAGCAGCCGCGGUAAUACGUAGGGACCAAGCGUUGUUCGGAUUUACUGGGCGUAAAGGGCGCGUAGGCGGCAUGACAAGUCACUUGUGAAAUCUCUGGGCUUAACCCAGAACGGCCAAGUGAUACUGUCGCGCUAGAGUGCAGAAGGGGCAAUCGGAAUUCUUGGUGUAGCGGUGAAAUGCGUAGAUAUCAAGAGGAACACCUGAGGUGAAGACGGGUUGCUGGGCUGACACUGACGCUGAGGCGCGAAAGCCAGGGGAGCAAACGGGAUUAGAUACCCAAGUAGUCCCUGAGCGGGCUGGCAAGGCGCAU